CAAAAAUAUUAAGCUGUAUAACAGUUAAUUUUACUAUCCACUAUAAAAAGUCAACUUUAAUAAUUUGAAUAAAUAUUUCUUGAGCAGAAAAUCAGCAUAUUAGAAUGAUUUCUGAAAGAUCAUGUGACACUGAAGACUGAAGUAAUGGCUGCUUUACCAUCACAGAAAUGAAUUAUAUUUUAAAAAAAUAUGUUAUUUUAAAUUGUAAUAAUAUUUCAUAAUAUCACUGCCAUCAAAAAUAUAGCAAAAUCUUACAGGUCUCAAACCUUUGAACGGAAGUGUAUAUACCACUAGACAAUACCACAGUAAAACAGUGACAUUAAAUUAUAAUUAUUAACAAGCACAUUAUAUCAUUUAGACACCUCCCACCUGUCUCCCUCUAUUUUUAGUUAGCUCCUCUUCAACCCUGACUAUUACAAGUUUUUGCUUUUAACUAAUUUUAAAAAGUGUAAAAGAGAUAAAAGGACUCUAAUUUGGUUAAACGAGCAUCCAUGCACACGUGUUAGUGUUAAGCUUGAGGUCACAGAGGAGUGACUGACUUUGGCUUGUCUGACUGGGCCUCUUGAAGCAUGGCCUUUGCAUUCCAGCGCCCAGACAAGGGCCAGCAGCUCCUAUGAGAAAGCGAGAGGGAGGAAGUUUCUGCAGGGAAGGGAUUAUGCGCAGUUUCCUCCCCCUCCCAUUCGCACUCUCCUGGUGCUCCAUAAACCAUGUCAGAAAACCACUAGAAACUUAAACCUACUCCUCAGGUACACGACCCUGCAGACAGGAUUAUGCUCUCCUCGUAUUUGGUGUAUCGUUUUCGGCUCUUCACUUUCUAGCCUUUUUUUUUUUUUUUUUGGGUCAUGUGGUGAAGGAUGGGCCAAUCUCAUUGGAGAACGAAGAGGGGAAACGUUACAGCUGCACAAUGCUGAAGCCGGUUUUCUGCCUGACAGGCACUUAAAGCGAUUCCACUCAUGGAUGAGGCAGACGGCGGUGUUCAAGCGAAGCUCCUCAGACUGAGCACAUCUCUGCACAGAUGAGCUGAGAGGUCAAUGAGUUUCUGGGCUGCCACAGUGACUGCCAAGUACAACCAGACACACUCUAUUAGAUGCAUUAUAAAACUGUUGAAACUCUGUCUCUUUCUCUCGCUCUGCUUCUCUCUCACACAAAGAAUACAAAAGAAAUACACUCUUUUAUUACUUUCAAAAUGCUUUUGAGCAGACUUUGUUCAAUAAAGGAAUAAAAGGUGAAUAACUUUAUCCUCUUGCUUGUUUUUUCAAAGAAACAUACUGUGACUUUUAUACACAGGACAUACUACAAGAGAUUUUAACAGGUCAAAGUUGUCUUUGCUGUUUUAGUAGGAGGAUAAGAUGGCAUUUGAGUAUAAAUGUGUAAAAUGUAUUUCACUCAGGCCGGUUAAUCUGAAUCUGACAUUUGGACAUUUUAAGCAUUUAACAGCAUUGCCCUGUGUCUGAUUGGCUGAUUAUUGGCUGUUAUUUUAUAAUUAAUAAAUGACAAUAAAUAAUAAAUAAAUAAAAUACAAAAAAAAAAAUCCUUGUGAAUUUUGUAAAUACAUUGUAAAAAUUAAUAUAAUAUAAAAAUAUAAUUUAAUACUCAUAUUCUAAAACCUAAAAUAACAUUUUGUGUAAAAUAUUUAACUAAUAUUCUAUUUAACUAAUAGUAUAAAACAUUAAUAUAGUGUUAAAGAUUUUUUUAUUCAAUUUUUUUUUAUUUAAUUUCAGCAUUGUAUUGCUCUUUAGAUAUCAGCAUCAGUCUGUCCUGACUGGUCAGUUAAUAGAAGUGGUCAUUUUACAAUAAAUAAUGCACUUUUUCUUUUUUUUUUCUUUUUUUUUUAGAGAGAGAAAAUGUAUCCUCUUAAUCUUGUAACUAUUGUGUAAAGUAUUAAAUCUUAUUUUAUUAAUAAAUGUUAUUUAAUACAUAUAUUAUAAAACAAUUAAUUUUAAAUAAAACAUUUUAUUCAUUAUUUUAAUUUAAAUUGAGCAUUAUAUUGGCCUGCUGUUUAGAAAUCAGCAUAUGCCCGUCCUGAUGAAUUACAGAAGUGGCCAUUUUACUGUAAAGUGAAUAAUGUACUUUUUUUUUUAUAAUGCAUCUAAAAAAAUCCUAUUAAUUUUGUAAAUAUUGUGUAAAAUAUAAAAUAAUAUUUUAGUAUAUAUAAUAUAUAUAAUUUAAAAAUAAAAAUUAUUUAUAAUAUAUUAUAUUCAUUAAUAUUUUAAUACAUAUACUAUAAAGCAUUAUAAAUAAAUUAAAAAGAAAUUAAAUUAAAAAAAACACAUAGAUAUAACAUCAAUAUUUUUUCAUUAUUUUAUUUAUUUAAAAAAACACAUCCUUUGACCAACAGAAUACACAAAACCCUGUCUGCUUCACUUGCUUGGGAUCAUGGAUCCAAAGCCCAGGAAAAACUGUGUUCUGCAUGUCAUUCUCUCAGCUAAAAUCAUUCAUCUCUCUUCCAUAGCCCCCUCUCUCCACAAGUGAGCUGAGGCAGUGAAUGAGAGCUGCAUUCUAAUAGGAUGAAUCCGGUCACUGCUGUAGGGGUGAACCGUGGGAGUGCCGUGGGAGUCCAGACAGAGAGCCAGAUGCAGACAAAAGUCCCAUGCUUUGCCCAAUUUACCUGCCACAGACACUACCUGCUAUACAACCUGACCAAUCCACAAUACCCCCUCUAUUGUUCUCUUGUCAAGAGCAAUGAAAAGAAUAGCUCCUUUUUCCAAUAAGAGCUUUUUCCACAAGCCACACUUUAAGCAUUAGUGCUUUAUUGAGACAUCCACUGAAAAUGAAUGAGGCAGAUUAAACCGAAGCGGCGCUCCUUUUGGUUCAGAUUUGGCAGACUGGCUUAGUAACAGCCACAGGUCUCCAGUGUAUAUUACCAUAUCAAGAGUCUCGAAUGUCAAUUCAUUGGUUGGUUUUAUCCAUCUGCUCCGGCUGUAUGCAUCAGAUUUGCAUCAGGCACGAACCCAACAAGUGAGAUUUAAGCUUAUACGGAAGGACGUGAGGCAGCCAAAUCAAACAUUCUUUUAAGUCAUGCCUUUUUCAGAGAUAUUAGGCAAUUGGAAACGCAACUAUAGCUCUUUGUACUCUUGCAAAGCAGCAGAUAGCAUAGGCAGGUCACAAAUAUAUCUUAAAUUAUGUGUCUAAUCAUAUAUAUGGUGCCAUAAAGUUACACUCAUAUUGCUCCAACUUUGAUAUUGUUGCUCAGCUAAUAUUAUGGUUUGUAAUAGUUCACCAAAACUAAAAAAUAGCUUAAAGUUUAUUCACACUCAGGCAGUCCAAUAUAGAUGAGUUUGUUUCUUCAUUGGAACACGUUUGCAGAAAUUUAGCAUUACAUCACUUGCUCACCAGUGGAUCCUCUGCAGUGAAUGGGUGCCGUCAGAAUGAGAGUCCAAGCAUCUGAUAAAAACAUCACAAUAAUCCACAAGUAAUCCACUCGACUCCAGUCCAUCAGUUAAUGUCUUGUGAAAUGAAAGCUGCAUGUUUGUAAGAAAAACUCCAUUAAGGCACAAAAUGGAUGUUUUUCACUGGAGGAAGUGUUAUUAUGGUUCAUGGUUUAAAGUUAAAACACCUUUAUGAUGGUUGUUGCAGCUUUUUGCUUCACAAGACGUUAGACUGGAAUCUUGUGAACUACUUGUGGAUUAUUGUAAUGUUUUUAUCAGCUGUUUGGACUCUCAUUCUGAUGGCACCCAUUCACUGCAGAAGACCCAUUGGUAAGUGAGUGAUACAUUUCUAA
ensembl:lncRNA